rnacentral:lncRNA from 1 species
AUCCACUCUCCCCCCUCCUCUCAAUUUCGUCUUUGGAGAGGCAGUGCUGUACGCACCUAAUGUCUAUGGUCCCCUUAUGUUGGAAGGGGCUGGUAGCAGACGUUACCUAUGACUUCUGUCUGUCAGACAUUGUUUAGCAAUCUACCCAGUAUGCUCUCUGAGACCUUCAAAGACCUGGAAAGCUUAGGGAAGGGAAGGAAAGGAUGGCUUUACCUUCCUUAAGGAUGUUCUCAUAAGGAGGGUUCUUCUGUCAGCCCCAUCAGCAGCCCAGGCCCCAGAAUCCAAGACUGACUAAAGUGUAGUAAAACCCCCAUGUUGGCUGAUGACAGCAAUCUAGCUCUGAGAGUUUCCCGAGCCUUCCUUAUAUUAUUCUUUUCUUCGCUCCUUCUAGGAAGAACAUUGGAGGCCACAGCAUCUUUCCUGUCUCUUGAUUUCUUCAAGUUCUGAGGACCCAUGUUUUGGGAUGACGUGGUGUUCUGAACCCCAUCGUGGUGUUUCAUGCUUUGCCUCUAUAGAGCAGUAUCCAACCAGAAUGCUUGGGCUUCCAUGGACUACAUUGCCAGAAGGGAGCAUUGACGAAAAGACAAGCAUCUCACUGGCGAGAGUUUAUGAGAAUGAUGUCCCAUCCGCUCACUGGGCUCGUCCUGCGACACAGAGCCAUGCUUUGGAAACUCAGGGAAUCGAUUCCAUUCACUCUGCAACUCCCAUUCUCUUCACCUUUGGUGGUCUCCAGACUCUUCUGGAAGGAUCCCUGAAUAUCAUGCUGGCUCUUGCUAGACAAGUGAUUUGGCUGUGGUGUGUGUGUGUGUGUGUGUGUGUGUGUGUGUGUGUGCGCGCGCGCGUGUGUGUGGGGGCACCCACACAAAAGGAUUACUGAUGAUGGCAUCUCAAUGAAUUUGUUUUCCUUUUUUCUUAAAACAAUCUUGUUUUAGAUAUAGUAAAAAAAAUUAAUAGAUUUCUUUUCCUUUUGGUUUUUUUUACAAUGAAAGGAAACAUGUCUAUAUUGCAGGCAACCUACUUGGAAUUUCUAGAAGAUACUGGGCCUCUAACUCCAGGCAGCCUGAUGCUUAGCUUAGGCACCCCUUCUUCUCCUUCAACAAAGGAACCCCUGCUUUACACCUCCAUAGACCCAUCUCAGUAACUUCAGUCUUUCCAUUAACCCCUGGUAGCCACAAUGACUUCCUAAUACCAGUUAAUUAACAAACACUGGUGCUCCAACAGAUGGAUUCCUGGGAGAGUCUUUGGUGUGGUCCCCAGACUGCAGGAGCAGAGCUGCAAGGUUUUCUUUGUUCUUCCAACACUUUCCUUGUGGGCUGCAAAGUACUUUGAAUCUCAAAUGAGCUCUCUAAUUAGUCUCCUCCCGACGUCCUGCGGGAUGGGCAAGGCUGUCCUUUAUCUCCACUUUGCAGAUAGUAACAAUUUGCAGGACUUGGCUGAGGUCACCGGAACAUUAGCAUCCCAGUCAGAAUACAACUCUUGGCCUCUAAGCAGAUCCUCCUACCCUGUUCCCUAGACAACUCCUUCCGUCCUGGUGGCAGCAGGACCUUAUAGCAGCACGGUGAACUCCUGGUUGGUGCUUGAGGCCUGGAGGUUAAGGGAGAUUUGGGGAAAGGUGUUAAGG